AAGUCGUAACAAGGUUUCCGUAGGUGAACCUGCGGAAGGAUCAUUAAUAAUGAAGCCGGGCAACCGGUCCUUCUAACCCUUGAUUAUCUUAAUUUGUUGCUUUGGUGGGCCGCGCAAGCACCGGCUUUGGCUGGAUCGUGCCCACCAGAGGACCCCAACUCUGUAUCAAAUAUUGUCUGAGUACUAUAAAAUAGUUAAAACUUUCAACAACGGAUCUCUUGGUUCUGGC
rnacentral:misc_RNA from 1 species